rnacentral:rRNA from 1 species
CUUUGGUUCUAUUUUGUUGGUUUCUAGGACCGAAGUAAUGAUUAAUAGGGAUAGUUGGGGGCAUUAGUAUUUAAUUGUCAGAGGUGAAAUUCUUGGAUUUAUUAAAGACUAACUUCUGCGAAAGCAUUUGCCAAGGAUGUUUUCAUUAAUCAAGAACGAAAGUUAGGGGAUCGAAGACGAUCAGAUACCGUCGUAGUCUUAACCAUAAACUAUGCCGACUAGGGAUCAGGCAAGGAUAUUUUGACUUGUUUGGCACCUUAUGAGAAAUCAAAGUUUUUGGGUUCCGGGGGGAGUAUGGUCGCAAGGCUGAAACUUAAAGGAAUUGACGGAAGGGCACCACCAGGAGUGGAGCCUGCGGCUUAAUUUGACUCAACACGGGGAAACUCACCAGGUCCAGA